CCGGAAUAGCUCAGUUGGUAGAGCA
rnacentral:tRNA from 26 species